CUUAACGUACAUGGUAGGGCUGUAUCAUUGGGACACCCAUUAGGAUGCAAUGGAGCUCGUAUCUUGGUCACAUUGUUAGGGAACAAUAUAUUCACAGCUAGAUCAACUUCUAUCAGGGAGUAAUUUUAAGUUCACAAGUUUAUGGAUUCAAUUCAAGAGAUGGAAGUCACACUUGGAAAAGCUAUAAGAUUGGGACGAUAUUCAAUAUGCAAAGCGGUGUUAUAUCCUCCUUGGAAGGCAUUGGGGGCAUAACUUCAGGCCGAGGGCAACCACGAUUCAUCAAUAACUAACGGAGGUUCUUCAGAAAGGCAGGAAGAAGAUAGUUUUCUCAACAUGAAACAAGCAAUGUUCUGAGGGCUCUAAGGACAGCUUCACCAUUCUUUCACCAACUAACCAAUCCAUAUUUGUUCCAAGUUUGGCUUACCACAAUCCCAGGUUU